rnacentral:rRNA from 1 species
CCUACGGGAGGCAGCAGUGAGGAAUAUUGGUCAAUGGACGAGAGUCUGAACCAGCCAAGUAGUGUGAAGGAUGACUGCCCUAUGGGUUGUAAACUUCUUUUAUAUGGGAAUAAAACGUUCCACGUGUGGGAUUUUGUAUGUACCAUAUGAAUAAGGAUCGGCUAACUCCGUGCCAGCAGCCGCGGUAAUACGGAGGAUCCGAGCGUUAUCCGGAUUUAUUGGGUUUAAAGGGAGCGUAGGUGGAUUGUUAAGUCAGUUGUGAAAGUUUGCGGCUCAACCGUAAAAUUGCAGUUGAAACUGGCAGUCUUGAGUACAGUAGAGGUGGGCGGAAUUCGUGGUGUAGCGGUGAAAUGCUUAGAUAUCACGAAGAACUCCGAUUGCGAAGGCAGUUCACUGGACUGCAACUGACACUGAGGCUCGAAAGUGUGGGUAUCAAACAGGAUUAGAUACCCUUGUAGUC